rnacentral:rRNA from 1 species
AGCAGCCGCGGUAAUUCCAGCUCCAAUAGCGUAUAUUAAAGUUGUUGCAGUUAAAAAGCUCGUAGUUGAACUUCGGGGUCUACCCAUUGGUCAGGCUUAAUUGUCUGCACUGGUGAGAUGGAUCUCUACCUUCUGAGGAACUUUCAUGCCAUUUAUUUGGUGUGAUUGGAAAUCAGGACUGUUACUUUGAAAAAAUUAGAGUGUUUAAAGCAGACUAUCGUCUGAAUACAUUAGCAUGGAAUAAUGAAAUAGGACGGACUGAUUCUAUUUCGUUGGUU